rnacentral:rRNA from 1 species
UACGGGGGGGUAAGCGUUGUUCGGAAUUCCUGGGCGUAAAGGGCUCGUAGGCGGCCAACUCAGUCGGACGUGAAAUCCCUCAGCUUAACUGGGGAACUGCGUCCGAUACUGGAUGGCUUGGAUUUGGGAGAGGGAUGCGGAAUUCCAGGUGUAGCGGUGAAAUGCGUAGAUAUCUGGAGGAACACCGGUGGCGAAGGCGGCAUCCUGGACCAAUAUUGACGCUGAGGAGCGAAAGCUAGGGGAGCAAACGGG